CCCUUAGUUAUCCUAGGUCGCACGCGCCAUACAAUGUGGCGCACAACGAGUCUCCUUGGCCGACGGGAUGUCCCGCGAGCGAUCGGCGACGCAGCCAGCUCGGUCUUCGGGCAGACUCGGUGAGAGUGGCCCGUCCUCCUGAGAGGGCGAUCGUCGAUGCCUCGGGAUUCUGGGCAAUCUGGCAGAGCGCUACGUGACUGGGCUAGACUUUUGUAAUUUUUGGUCUUGAACGAGGAAUGCCUAGUAAUCGCAGGUCAGCAUCCUGCGAUGAUUCGGUCCCUGCCCUUUGUACACACCGCCCGUCGCUCCAUCCGUGGCAUGCGCCGGUGAAGAGGGGGAGGCAGCGUCGGCCGUGUAACAGCGGAUCGUACGUGGAACCCCUCUGAACCUUCGCACGUAGAGGAAGGAGAAGUCGUAACA
rnacentral:rRNA from 1 species